rnacentral:rRNA from 1 species
CUACCAUGCAAGUCGAACGGUGAAGCCAAGCUUGCUUGGUGGAUCAGUGGCGAACGGGUGAGUAACACGUGAGCAACCUGCCCUGAACUCUGGGAUAAGCGCUGGAAACGGCGUCUAAUACUGGAUAUGAGCUGCGGAGGCAUCUUCGUGGUUGGAAAGAUUUUUCGGUUUGGGAUGGGCUCGCGGCCUAUCAGCUUGUUGGUGAGGUAAUGGCUCACCAAGGCGUCGACGGGUAGCCGGCCUGAGAGGGUGACCGGCCACACUGGGACUGAGACACGGCCCAGACUCCUACGGGAGGCAGCAGUGGGGAAUAUUGCACAAUGGGCGGAAGCCUGAUGCAGCAACGCCGCGUGAGGGAUGACGGCCUUCGGGUUGUAAACCUCUUUUAGCAGGGAAGAAGCGAAAGUGACGGUACCUGCAGAAAAAGCGCCGGCUAACUACGUGCCAGCAGCCGCGGUAAUACGUAGGGCGCAAGCGUUAUCCGGAAUUAUUGGGCGUAAAGAGCUCGUAGGCGGUUUGUCGCGUCUGCUGUGAAAACCCGAGGCUCAACCUCGGGCCUGCAGUGGGUACGGGCAGACUAGAGUGCGGUAGGGGAGAUUGGAAUUCCUGGUGUAGCGGUGGAAUGCGCAGAUAUCAGGAGGAACACCGAUGGCGAAGGCAGAUCUCUGGGCCGUAACUGACGCUGAGGAGCGAAAGGGUGGGGAGCAAACAGGCUUAGAUACCCUGGUAGUCCACCCCGUAAACGUUGGGAACUAGUUGUGGGGUCCAUUCCACGGAUUCCGUGACGCAGCUAACGCAUUAAGUUCCCCGCCUGGGGGAGUACGGCCGCAAGGCUAAAACUCAAAGGAAUUGACGGGGACCCGCACAAGCGGCGGAGCAUGCGGAUUAAUUCGAUGCAACGCGAAGAACCUUACCAAGGCUUGACAUACACGAGAACGCUGCAGAAAUGUAGAACUCUUUGGACACUCGUGAACAGGUGGUGCAUGGUUGUCGUCAGCUCGUGUCGUGAGAUGUUGGGUUAAGUCCCGCAACGAGCGCAACCCUCGUUCUAUGUUGCCAGCACGUAAUGGUGGGAACUCAUGGGAUACUGCCGGGGUCAACUCGGAGGAAGGUGGGGAUGACGUCAAAUCAUCAUGCCCCUUAUGUCUUGGGCUUCACGCAUGCUACAAUGGCCGGUACAAAGGGCUGCAAUACCGCGAGGUGGAGCGAAUCCCAAAAAGCCGGUCCCAGUUCGGAUUGAGGUCUGCAACUCGACCUCAUGAAGUCGGAGUCGCUAGUAAUCGCAGAUCAGCAACGCUGCGGUGAAUACGUUCCCGGGUCUUGUACACACCGCCCGUCAAGUCAUGAAAGUCGGUAACACCUGAAGCCGGUGGCCCAACCCUUGUGGAGGGAGCCGUCGAAG